rfam:Populus trichocarpa scaffold_7_contig_145, whole genome shotgun sequence.
UCUAGAACUCGAGAUAUGGGCGGAACACUGAACAGUGUCUGGGCUGCAAGACAGAUUCUGACUUCUCCGUUGUUGCUAAGAUUUGGACUUCCAGACAGCAGAAUUGAGUCUUGGACUCUUCAUGAAUGUUUUAGGCCUAUGUCUUAGCUUUCUAGC